CAGUAGCCGCGGGAAUACGAAGGGGGCUAGCGUUGCUCGGAAUUACUGGGCGUAAAGGGCGCGUAGGCGGACAGUUCAGUCGGGGGUGAAAGCCCGGGGCUCAACCUCGGAAUUGCCUUCGAUACUGGCUGUCUUGAGUAUGAGAGAGGUGUGUGGAACUCCGAGUGUAGAGGUGAAAUUCGUAGAUAUUCGGAAGAACACCAGUGGCGAAGGCGACACACUGGCUCAUUACUGACGCUGAGGCGCGAAAGCGUGGGGAGCGAACAGGAUUAGAUACCUGUAGUCCCUGUCUCUUAUACAC
rnacentral:rRNA from 1 species